rnacentral:tRNA from 1 species
GCGCUGUUAGUUCAAUUGGAUAGAGCGUUCGGCUACGGACCGAAAGGCUUCAGGUUCAAAUCCUGAACGGCGCGCCA